GACGUAGGGCGCAAGCGUUGUCCGGAUUUAUUGGGCGUAAAGAGCUCGUAGGCGGCUUGUUGCGUCGACCGUGAAAACCCGUGGCUCAACUGCGGGCUUGCGGUCGAUACGGGCGGGCUAGAGUUCGGUAGGGGAGACUGGAAUUCCUGGUGUAGCAGUGAAAUGCGUAGAGAUCAUGAGGAAGACCAGUGGCGAAGGCGGGUCUCUGGACAGUUCCUGACACUGAGACACGAAGGCCAGGGGAGCAAACGGG
rnacentral:rRNA from 1 species